ensembl:snoRNA LOC120096830 small nucleolar RNA SNORA17
CCUACUCCUAGAAGAUUUGCACAUGUGACUGCUGUGUUACAUGUGUAUCAGAAUACACAGAGGACAGAUGCUAUAUCUAUAUGAACAUCUGAAU